rnacentral:rRNA from 1 species
GACGAACGCUGGCGGCGUGCUUAACACAUGCAAGUCGAACGGAAAGGCCCCAGCUUGCUGGAGUACUCGAGUGGCGAACGGGUGAGUAACACGUGGGUAAUCUGCCCUGCACUCUGGGAUAAGCCUGGGAAACUGGGUCUAAUACUGGAUAUGACCUUUCUCCUUAUGGGGUUUGGUGGAAAGUUUUUCGGUGUAGGAUGAGCCCGCGGCCUAUCAGCUUGUUGGUGGGGUGAUGGCCUACCAAGGCGACGACGGGUAGCCGGCCUGAGAGGGUGAUCGGCCACAUUGGGACUGAGAUACGGCCCAGACUCCUACGGGAGGCAGCAGUGGGGAAUAUUGCACAAUGGGCGGAAGCCUGAUGCAGCGACGCCGCGUGAGGGAUGACGGCCUUCGGGUUGUAAACCCCUUUCAGCAGGGACGAAGCGUAAGUGACGGUACCUGCAGAAGAAGCACCGGCUAACUAUGUG